rnacentral:rRNA from 1 species
CAUUGGCGGCGGGCUACACAUGCAAGUCGAGCGGUAGCACAGAGAGCUUGCUCUCGGGUGACGAGCGGCGGACGGGUGAGUAAUGUCUGGGAAACUGCCUGAUGGAGGGGGAUAACUACUGGAAACGGUAGCUAAUACCGCAUAACGUCGCAAGACCAAAGUGGGGGACCUUCGGGCCUCAUGCCAUCAGAUGUGCCCAGAUGGGAUUAGCUGGUAGGUGGGGUAACGGCUCACCUAGGCGACGAUCCCUAGCUGGUCUGAGAGGAUGACCAGCCACACUGGAACUGAGACACGGUCCAGACUCCUACGGGAGGCAGCAGUGGGGAAUAUUGCACAAUGGGCGCAAGCCUGAUGCAGCCAUGCCGCGUGUGUGAAGAAGGCCUUCGGGUUGUAAAGCACUUUCAGCGGGGAGGAAGGCGGUGAGGUUAAUAACCUCAUCGAUUGACGUUACCCGCAGAAGAAGCACCGGCUAACUCCGUGCCAGCAGCCGCGGUAAUACGGAGGGUGCAAGCGUUAAUCGGAAUUACUGGGCGUAAAGCGCACGCAGGCGGUCUGUCAAGUCGGAUGUGAAAUCCCCGGGCUCAACCUGGGAACUGCAUUCGAAACUGGCAGGCUAGAGUCUUGUAGAGGGGGGUAGAAUUCCAGGUGUAGCGGUGAAAUGCGUAGAGAUCUGGAGGAAUACCGGUGGCGAAGGCGGCCCCCUGGACAAAGACUGACGCUCAGGUGCGAAAGCGUGGGGAGCAAACAGGAUUAGAUACCCUGGUAGUCCACGCUGUAAACGAUGUCGAUUUGGAGGUUGUGCCCUUGAGGCGUGGCUUCCGGAGCUAACGCGUUAAAUCGACCGCCUGGGGAGUACGGCCGCAAGGUUAAAACUCAAAUGAAUUGACGGGGGCCCGCACAAGCGGUGGAGCAUGUGGUUUAAUUCGAUGCAACGCGAAGAACCUUACCUGGUCUUGACAUCCACAGAACUUAGCAGAGAUGGUUUGGUGCCUUCGGGAACUGUGAGACAGGUGCUGCAUGGCUGUCGUCAGCUCGUGUUGUGAAAUGUUGGGUUAAGUCCCGCAACGAGCGCAACCCUUAUCCUUUGUUGCCAGCGGUCCGGCCGGGAACUCAAAGGAGACUGCCAGUGAUAAACUGGAGGAAGGUGGGGAUGACGUCAAGUCAUCAUGGCCCUUACGACCAGGGCUACACACGUGCUACAAUGGCAUAUACAAAGAGAAGCGACCUCGCGAGAGCAAGCGGACCUCAUAAAGUAUGUCGUAGUCCGGAUUGGAGUCUGCAACUCGACUCCAUGAAGUCGGAAUCGCUAGUAAUCGUAGAUCAGAAUGCUACGGUGAAUACGUUCCCGGGCCUUGUACACACCGCCCGUCACACCAUGGGAGUGGGUUGCAAAAGAAGUAGGUAGCUUAACCUUCGGGAGGGCGCUACCACUUGGAUCGAUUGC